UAAAGAUAUGAGUAUAUUAUUAAUAGAACUGUUUUUUGAAUGAAAAACGACCGCUCGCUUUGGUUACACCGGUUCAGCAUAGAACUAUGUGUAUGUAUGAAAGCAUGAGAGUGAAAGCAAGAAUCUCGCCAGUUGCCAAAUUGAAUAAUUUAUAGCAAUGUUGUUUGCUGUUCUAUGUCUGCAUAAAACGUGAUCCGUAUCAAAUAACAUUGACUUGGUGGCAGUCAACUUAUCCGGAGCAAGGAGGGACGAGGUGGAAAUACCAAGGUCUUACCUUGGAUACCUAAAAACAUGCGAAGCUUGAGGACUAUUCCAAUGUCUGCUUUCAUUUUCCCAUCAAUGACACUAAAGGCCC